UCGAGAAUCUUCCCCAAUGGCCGAAAGGCUGAGGGAGCGACGCCGCGUGCAGGAAGACGCCCUUCGGGGUGUAAACUGCUUUUCUUCGGGAACAACUCUGAGUGUACCGAAGGAAUAAGGGGCUGCUAACUUCGUGCCAGCAGCAGCGGUAAUACGAAGGCCCCGAGCGUUAUCCGGAUUUAUUGGGCGUAAAGCGUUAAAAGGUGGCUUGGUAAGUAUCUCGUCAAAUCUCACGGCUUAACCGUGAGGCCGCGGGGUAAACUGCCUGGCUUGAGGGCGGAAGAGGCAAGCGGAACUACCGGUGUAGUGGUAAAAUGCGUUCAUAUCGGUAGGAACACCAAAGGCGAAGGCAGCUUGCUGGUACGAUCCUGACACUAAAUAACGAAAGCGUGGGGAGCGAAUGGGAUUAGAUACCCCUGUAGUCC
rnacentral:rRNA from 1 species